rnacentral:tRNA from 1 species
GGGCGUGGUGUUCAACAGCAGCAUGACAGUCUUCCAAACUGUCGGUGCCGGUGCAAUUCCGGUCGCCC